rnacentral:rRNA from 1 species
AAAUUUGGAUUAAUGCCCCAUAGUAUGUAUUAGCGGCAUCGCUAUUACAUUAAAGGCUACGGUACAGGAUGACUAUGCGUCCCAUUAGUUAGUUGGUAAGGUAACGGCUUACCAAGGCAGCGAUGGGUAGGGGCCCUGAGAGGGGGAUCCCCCACACUGGUACUGAGACACGGACCAGACUCCUACGGGAGGCAGCAGUGAGGAAUAUUGGACAAUGGGCGGGAGCCUGAUCCAGCCAUGCCGCGUGCAGGAAGACGGUCCUAUGGAUUGUAAACUGCUUUUGUACGGGAAGAACAAGGGGCACGUGUGCCCUUCUGACGGUACCGUAAGAAUAAGGAUCGGCUAACUCCGUGCCAGCAGCCGCGGUAAUACGGAGGAUCCGAGCGUUAUCCGGAAUCAUUGGGUUUAAAGGGUCCGUAGGCGGGCCAUUAAGUCAGGGGUGAAAGUCUGCGGCUCAACCGUAGAAUUGCCCUUGAUACUGGUGGUCUUGAGUUAUGGUGAAGUAACUAGAAUAUGUAGUGUAGCGGUGAAAUGCAUAGAUAUUACAUAGAAUACCGAUUGCGAAGGCAGGUUACUAACCAUAUACUGACGCUGAUGGACGAAAGCGUGGGGAGCGAACAGGAUUAGAUACCCUGGUAGUCCACGCCGUAAACGAUGGAUACUAGCUGUCCGGAUGCAAAUCUGGGCGGCCAAGCGAAAGUGAUAAGUAUCCCACCUGGGGAGUACGUCCGCAAGGAUGAAAC